rnacentral:rRNA from 1 species
GCUGGUCUGAGAGGANGAGCAGCCACACUGGGACUGAGACACGGCCCAGACUCCUACGGGAGGCAGCAGUGGGGGAUUUUCCGCAAUGGGCGCAAGCCUGACGGAGCAAUACCGCGUGAGGGAGGAAGGCUUUUGGGUNGUAAACCUCUUUUGUCAGGGAAGAAGAAUUGACGGUACCUGAAGAAAAAGCAUCGGCUAACUCCGUGCCAGCAGCCGCGGUAAUACGGAGGAUGCAAGCGUUAUCCGGAAUCAUNGGGCGUAAAGGGUCCGCAGGUGGCGAAUAAAGUCUGCUGUUAAAGACCGGGGCUUAACUCCGGAAAGGCAGUGGAAACUGAUUAGCUAGAGUACGGUAGGGGUAGAGGGAAUUCCCAGUGUAGCGGUGAAAUGCGUAGAUAUUGGGAAGAACACCGGUGGCGAAAGCGCUCUACUAGGCCGAAACUGACACUGAGGGACGAAAGCUAGGGUAGCGAAAGGGAUUAGAUACCCCUGUAGUCUUAGCGGU